GAUGAAGAACGCAGCGAAAUGCGAUACGUAAUGUGAAUUGCAGAAUUCAGUGAAUCAUCGAAUCUUUGAACGCAUAUUGCGCUCUCUGGUAUUCCGGAGAGCAUGCUUGUUUGAGUAUCAGUAAACACCUCAACUCCCUUUUCUUUUUUGAAAUUGGAGCUGGACUUGAGUGAUCCCAACGCUUUCUUCCAAGAAAGUGGCGGGUUGCUUGAAAUGCAGGUGCAGCUGAACUUUUCUCUGAGCUAUAAGCAUAUCUAUUUAGUCUGCCUAAAAAACAGAUUAUUACCUUUGCUGCAGCUAACAUAAAGGAGACUAGUUCUUGUGCUGACUGAUGCAGGAUUCACAGAGCCAGCUUCGGCUGACUUUGUAAACUCGAUCUCAAAUCAAGUAAGACUACCCGCUGAACUUAAGCAUAUCAAUAAGCGGAGGA
rnacentral:misc_RNA from 1 species